rnacentral:rRNA from 1 species
AUACGUAGGGAGCGAGCGUUACCCGGAAUUACUGGGCGUAAAGCGCGCGUAGGCGGUAUAUCAAGUUAGGCGUGAAAGCCCCGGGCUCAACCCGGGAACUGCGUUUGAAACUGGCAGGCUUGAGGCCGGGAGAGGGUAGUGGAAUUCCCAGUGUAGAGGUGAAAUUCGUAGAUAUUGGGAAGAACACCAGUGGCGAAGGCGGCUACCUGGACCGGUUCUGACGCUGAGGUGCGAAAGCGUGGGGAGCAAACAGGAUUAGAUACCCCGGUAGUCC